UACGUAGGGUGCGAGCGUUGUCCGGAAUUAUUGGGCGUAAAGAGCUUGUAGGCGGUCUGUCGCGUCUGCCGUGAAAUUUCGGGGCUCAACCCCGAACUUGCGGUGGGUACGGGCAGACUAGAGUGUGGUAGGGGAGACUGGAAUUCCUGGUGUAGCGGUGAAAUGCGCAGAUAUCAGGAGGAACACCGAUGGCGAAGGCGGGUCUCUGGGCAACAACUGACGCUGAGGAGCGAAAGCGUGGGGAGCGAACAGG
rnacentral:rRNA from 1 species